CCUCCGGAGAAACCGAGACAACAGACAUCCACCUCCGUCACCCGGGCCCACCGUCCCCGGCGUGAAGCGCACCGUCCGCCGGCCCGACGCGGCGACCCCCCCCCCCCCCCCCCCCCCCCCCUCCUCUUCUGAAAAUUCGAACCGACGAGGCGACGGGGGGACCCGUUCCACAAUAAUCGCACUCGCGGAGCGGGCACGCCGACGGCCGCCCGCCCGCCCUCGGAGAUUCAGCUGUCGGACCCCGUCUCGGGAAUCGCCGAUUACACCUGAACUACAGUUCUGCCAUGAGUCCUGUGGCUUUCUGUCCUAUGCAUGCCAUUCAUCUAUCGAUCGUAGUUUUGUUAGCAGCUACCUACAUGCAUGUGCCAGGCACUGCUAUCAUCGUGGUUCCAAGUUCUAAUUGUUACACCUUUGAUAACGAGAGCCGCCUUAUUGAUUUUACACAUCUGGUCGGAAAGGAAUAUGAAUACAAUGAACAGGGUUCAGAACCGCCUGAUUUGGUUGUUGAGUUCUGCAAAGAUGUGCAGAGAAGAUCUCAAAAGGGUUACAUUGAAUUUGGACGUUUUGUUAGUUCUCGCUCCUUUCUGCUUGGUUCAGGGCCUACUGACUAUAUUCAGAAAUUCCAUGAUGGAGAUUUAGUGCACUGUGAAACUACAUUUGAAAAGAUGGGUCGUACAGCACAGGUAAACAUCAUAUGUGGACAUUGCUCAAAUAAUGCGUGCAGAGAUGAACAAGGAUGCAUUUGUAGCAUAUCUUAUGAUGAAAGGAUGUGCAGGGUGCUUGUUGAACUUGCUAUUCCUUGUGUUAAAAGUGGUCCAAGAGUAUUCAAGGGUUUCACUGUGGGAUUCCAUCCCAGAUCAUCAGAAAUUGUUUAUAAUGGAUUGACUCAGCUGGGAUUUGAGCAACUCCAUCAUGGCUUUAGCUUUCAAACUGAGCAGAUUCAUGUGUCCCUGUAUCUUACUGCUAUGUCUUCCCUCGCAGAACUGGUUGGAAAACCUACCUUCAAGGUUAAUCCAGUGAAAGGGCUUAGUGUUACAAUUACAGGAUCAGGGCUCAAUGGUGCCAUGCCUACUACCCUGUCUCCUACAGUUCUGAAUGUGGAUUGGAGAUGUGAAAUUGCUCGAAGCAGUCCGUAUGAAGUCAAUAUUUUGAUCCCAGUUGAGGGCUAUGAUCCAAUUGAGUUUACACUUACCAAAGAAUGUGUUUAUGCACAAGAAAAAGAGAGUGAUCCCAUGAAAGGCUGGGCAACAUUUGGAAUUAUUUCAUGCAUCUUCAUUGUCUUAUCAACUCUACUUUAUUGUGGAGGGUUCAUCUACAAAACCCGCGUGGAGCAUCUGUAUGGUUUAGAUGCACUGCCUGGGAUGGCCUUCUUAUCCGCCUUUCUGGAUGCUGCUGGUAGACCAAGAGGCUACUUGCCAGCAGGCAAUCCAAGUGAAAGUCAUGCAAGCCAGGCGUCUUGGGAACACACACAUAAUACCACACAAGCAGCACAGAGGACAAAUGAUAGGGAAUAUGGAUCAAUAUGAACCAAAAGCAUAUGUAGUUUUGAGGAUUAUUUCUUGCAGGAAGUGAGCUUAUGGAGUGUUGCUAAUCAUCUUCACCUCUUCAUAAUAAGGCCUUCUCAUUCAACUGCCACCUCAUGUGCAAGUGAAUUAGUGCAUCCAUUGAUGUGCACAAUUAAUUUUUCUUUAUGUGUGACAUUAAAUCGAAAGGCCAUUCACCGUCUUGCGAUACCACGCUUGCUAGCAACUGUUGUGUCUUAUCAUAUUGUAUAGUAUAAUAGAGCGCAAACUACUCAAAACUGUUAUUAUUGAAGUGUUUACGUGCUAAUCUCGGAAAAUUAGUUAUAAUGUAUGCAUCAUGGUCUGGAAACUAUAUGCAAUGACUCGCCCCUUUUCCAUCUUUUACAUAACAGAGUUAUGGAUUGAUUUAGAGCAAAAGAAAAUGAUAUACAUUUCAUUGAAACUAGUUGGCUUACAUUAACAAAUUGGAGGAAAAAAAAAGGCGAACUGAAGUUACAGUUACAUCUUAUGCCACCACACAUUGGCAUGCUGACAUUCAAACUGAAAUAACAUCCAAAGUAAAUGGUUCAUCACAAGCAAAGGAACCUAAUGCAGACAGAAGCAUUUUGGUAGCUAGACCUCCUGAUUGACCCUAAGACAGUUCUUGCAGAUUUCUCCAUUGUGACCCAUGAGGGGAUUUAUGUUCCCCAUUUUGAUUAUGGAAUUCACGUAGUGUUCAAAGAAUAGUGGCUCGUUUUCUGCAUAACUUUUAACCAGCCCUGCUAUUUCUGGAUCUUUUCCUGUCCACAAAACUUCAUCUGAAUUGAGAAGCCCUUUUCCCUCCAAUAUCAGCUUAUAGUAGCUGUUGUCAAAUUUUGAAGGGCUGGCAAAAUCUAGUGAUCGUAUGUUGUUAUCACCACCUGUGCGUGGGCAUGCCGAUGCCAAUGUGUGAUAGAAACUUCUCUCUAGCGUUAUGUCUGGUCUGUUAUCUCUAUGCUGAUUGUACAGCUGCUGUUUGAAAUUCACACAUCUGGCCUUUCCGAUUGUGUGGCUUCCUGUCAGUUUAAAAUAGAACUCUUUAAGAAGAAAAGAAGAGAAUAUCCAUAUACACUAGCAACAGUUAUGUUCUUAGAAAUUAAUUUGGAUUACUAUUUUAAUUUCAGUGAUGCAUUCAUGACAUCAAUGAAACAUCAAUAAAUCCAUUAUGAAUAUAGUUAUUUUUUUAUUUUUCAUUGUUGUCUGGCAGAUAUUCCUGCUGAUGAUAGUAAUGCGUUUCUACUACACCGUUCUCAAUGUUUUUCUUAGUGUACUUUCAGCAUAAGCUUAUAACAAGAAUCUCAUAGAAUUAUGAACAACUGAACCAAUUAUCACUGCUUUCUUUAUUAAAGGUUUAUUUUGAGCAUUAGCAAUAGCAUACCUGAUAGUGCCACAAGGUCCACCUUAUCCAGUCCUUAAAACUUGAUAAGACGGUGUAGCGUUGCAUUUGGGGGAGGAAGGUUCUUAUUUGCUGGCUUCAUGUUUGCUGUCUUUGAAUCUCUCCUUCCUAAUGGAAGCUCCCAAUAUGGUCCACCACUCUGUCAGGCAAUAACAUUAUUAUGUGCGUUUUAAAUGUAUCAAGUAGAGCUAAAUUAAGUUCUACCUGAGGAUGCCAGCUUUUAGUCUUUAAAGAAAUUAAAAUAUAUUUUAGUGAGAAAUCCUUUAUGUAUUUCUCUUUCUGUAAUUAGUACAGGUUCUUGUCACUUAAAAGAGCAGAAAAUUACCAGUACUGUGGAACCUCGGGCUGCUAGGGCAAUAGUGUCUGCACAGGAGACUGUAUGUGGGCAUGCUUCCUCAAGUGCGGCUUUGAUCUCAUCUAUAACCUCAAAUCCCCUAAUUGAAUUCUUAUUGGGAAUAGCAUUUUUCUCGCUUACGAAUUCCUCAGUGUCAUCCAAAAGAACUGAUGCAUCACAGCCCUGCAAUUUCAUAUUGACAAUGAUGAGAAAAUAAUUUUGCUCUACAAUACGUGUACCACAAGAUAACCAAAGAUUAUUGAUGACUGAACAUGAAAACGUGGUUCUAGCACUCAACCAUGUUCAACAUCCCGGCUCAUGGGCGAACUAUGCUUGUUGAACGGUGACUUUUGUUCAUGGAUGAAAAAGGAAAUGGAUGUGAACUGUGCUAAUCUGAACAAAGCAGUCAUGAAAUAGGAGCCUGAGAAGGGAAGCAGCUAUCCUUGGUUCCUUUGCGAUAGCCUUCUUCAGUAUAGACACCACAAUCUCAUCAGCUUGUGGGCAUGUGAACUUGUAGUAAUCUGGAGAAAGACUUGAGAUUGGGGCAUUUCCAACUGGAUAGGCACCCUCAUGGUGAUCAGGUGGGAAGGCAAGGGAGGCAGAUAAGUAGAAGGAAGCAAUGAAGAUUGCACCAAGAACUAUCUUAGUUGAAGCCAUGAGUUCUUGAAUGCUGAUGUGCUUUAGUUUCAUGCAUUCUACUUCCUAUUUAUAGACACUCAUGUGACUCAACUGCAGCACUCCAUCCGCUCCACUUAUGGAAAGCGUCAUCUGUUUGCAUCAGGUGUACCUGAUUUAGAGAUGUCUGGUGCUUGGAUGGUUCAGAAUACUGAAGAAGCCAGCUUGCUGCGGCGUCGAAGCAGCUCAGGAAUCCAACUCUCACGAAGUCCCUUUUUUCCUACGAUCUAGGAUUUGUUCCAAAUCGUGUAUUUUCUGUAUGAGUUCGCAUUGAUCUCCUACCAGCCGCAAGUAGUUAGAGCAGUUUGUAGACCUUCUCCCGGACGGAAUUUCUCGCUUCCAAUCCAAGAAAAUUCCUUCAUUGCA